GGGCCCGCACAAGCAGUGGAGCAUGUGGUUUAAUUCGAUGCAACGCGAAAAACCUUACCUACUCUUGACAUACUUGGAAGCUCUUGUAAUGAGAGUGUGCCUUAUGGAACCAAGAUACAGGUGCUGCAUGGCUGUCGUCAGCUCGUGUCGUGAGAUGUUCCGUUAAGUCGGAUAACGAGCGCAACCCUUACCCUUAUUUGCCAGCGAUUCGGUCGGGAACUAUAAGGGGACUGCCGGUGAUAAACCGGAGGAAGGUGAGGACGACGUCAAGUCAUCAUGGCCCUUACGAGUAGGGCUACACACGUGCUACAAUGGGGAAUACAGACGGACGCUAAGCCGCGAGGUGGUGCUAAUCCUAGAAAGUUUCUCGUAGUCCGGAUUGGAGUCUGCAACUCGACUCCAUGAAGUCGGAAUCGCUAGUAAUCG
rnacentral:rRNA from 1 species